UACAGAGGUCCCAAGCGUUGUUCGGAUUCACUGGGCGUAAAGGGUGCGUAGGCGGUCGGGUAAGUCAGGGGUGAAAUCCUGGAGCUCAACUCCAGAACUGCCUUUGAUACUGAAGAUCUUGAGUUCGGGAGAGGUGAGUGGAACUGCGAGUGUAGAGGUGAAAUUCGUAGAUAUUCGCAAGAACACCAGUGGCGAAGGCGGCUCACUGGCCCGAUACUGACGCUGAGGCACGAAAGCGUGGGGAGCAAACAGG
rnacentral:rRNA from 1 species